rnacentral:tRNA from 1 species
GCAUUUGUGGCUCAGUGGUAGAGUUCUCGCCUUCCAUGCAGGAGGCUGGGCUUUGAUUCCUGGCCAAUGCA